AAAGAAAUCCGAUUCAUGAAAUUAAGUUCAGCGAAAAUAAAUAAAUGAAUAAGUAAAAAAGUUAAAAGAAAAUAAAGGCCAAUCAAUAUUAAUAAUAAUGUCAUGGUGCACACCAAUUCAUCUUUCAUUAUCAUUGACAAUCUACCCAAUUUUUUUCCUUAAAUUUCUCUCAACAUCAUCACAGUUUUUAGCCAAUAUAUAAUACAGUUUAAGACAAACAGAUUAAUAACCACAAAAAUUAAGCUUUUUUCUUAUCAUUUUUCUUACAACAUAUUUUACUCAUCUAUGAGCAGUAAUCAGUGUCUCUAUGAACCUUAAUCCAUCAAAUCUUGGCGCAAAUUUAUUGGAACAAGAAGAAGAAGACGGCCUCUGCGAUGUUGAAUUCUCCCUAUUUCUUCUCAUAAUCGCAUCCUAUAAAUUACAGAAAAAAUCGUCAAAAUUCAACGUAAAGCUAGAUCUCAAAAUAAUUAGUUUUCUCGGUUAGAAAAUAGGUUUCAAAUUUAGGGGUUUUGUGAUAUUGGUAAAAGUUGAUAAUAUAUCUUUGGUGCCAUGAAAUGUGGUGAAAAAGUGGAAAAAAGUUGUGAAUCCAAUGAAAUUUGUAUCUAAAAAUGAAAUUUAACCAAUUUUUUAACCAAUAAAAGCUUUAUCCAAUAAACAUUUAAUUGAAAAAGGAGAAGAAAAAGACGAGGGAAAUGAUUUUACCUCGUGCAGAGAGUGAAUUUUGGAAGUCGAGGAAGCGGAAAUGGCGGAAGCAGAAGCGGCCACUGAGGCUGCUAAGAGGCCUGAUAUCUUCAUUACGAAGGAAAAUAUUUUCCUUCUUAAUCAGAAAUCUUAGGUGAAAUUCUGGGGAAGGGAAUUUGGUUUUCUUGGGGAAAGUAUGGAAAGGAAAAUGUUGGGCGAGGAGUGGGUCGUUUAUAUAGGAAAAAAAGUGCUUGCCCAAUUACAGUCUUGCCCUUUUGUUGAUUUUUGAAUUUGAAUUCGAAUUAUUAUUACUUUAUUAGUAGUAGUAUUAUUUAUUUAUUGAAAGGCUAUUUCGAAUUUUAGCUCGUGUUUGAGACUUAUUUUUAAGAAUAGAUUUUACAAGAAGUGAUUUUUCUUUAGAAUGUGUGAUUAAAAAAAUAAAAAAAUUUAAGUUUACGUGUAAAAUUAUUUUAUUGAGAAAUAUGUGAAUAAAAAUUAAUUUGAAGAAAAAUGAAAUUUGAACAAUGAAGUUCGCUAAAAUGAUUAUACUAUUAUUACUAGUACUUUCUAUAUUAUGGUCAAUUUCAUCUGCAAUCACUCAGCUUUAAGAGUAGUUUUAAAAACUUUAGUUUGUUUUACUUGGGUCGCCACAGUUUGAUUUACAACUUAUAAGUUACAUUCCGUUACUUAUCGUCCUCUAAACUGAUAGAAAUUGUUAAGUUAAAAGUUAAAUUAUACCCUAGAAGUAAAAUUGGUAAAUGAGAAUUGUGGCAAUAUGUCUUUAGAUUAAUAUGUUAAAAUGCAUAAUUAAAAAAAAAAAACAUUUAUGAUGUGUGUAGCAGUAAAUUCGUAUGACGUUACAUGAAGGAUAAAUUACAAUAUGAUUGUCAAGCAAGCAUUUUCAUCAAUUUGGACAAAAUGGUGAAAUCUAAAAACUUAAUUAAAGUUUAGUGACCUAAUUAAAAUUUCAUUAAAAGUGAAGAUCUGCAUAAGAAAAUUACAUAUUUUUAUUAGCUUUAUUAAUUAAAUUAUUAUUUUCAUAUCCAUAAUUCUACUAUUAUUUGAUUUUAAUGGGAAAAAUAUGGUUUGACAAAUUCGGAUUUGAUGUUCAUUUUCAUUCUCGUGGUAAAAUGAGUUAUAUUAAAAUUAGAUGACUAAUAAUGAAGAUACAGAUUUUUUUGAAAUUUAGUGUGUUUGAACAACAUUAUUUUGUAAGAAUGUAUUUUGAAAUAGUAGAUUGAUGAAAAAUGUACAGUUACAAAAUGAAGAAUUUUUUUUUAUUUGCAUGUAAUAUUAUUUUAUUGAAGAAUGUAUUUUUUUUUAAUUCGGCUCAAACAGGGCCUUAAUUUAUUGUCAAGAACAAAAUUCAACAUUCAAUUACACGUGCAAUGCAACUCUUUACAAGCAAACAUUAUUUAAAAAAAAAAAAAAUUACAACCAUGUUUGAUUUAAAAAAAAAAUUUGUAUAUGAUUAAAAUUAAUUAUUUAUUUUAACUCAAUAAUUUUAGUUUUUUUUUUUGGUUGGUUAUUGUUAUUUUUCGUUGUGCUACAGAUUAUUUAUUAGUAGAUGAUGCAGUAAGAUUUUAUUGAGUCAACAUCUCAUCUACCAAAACAAAAAAAAAGGCCUCCCGGGGCAUAGCCUAGUUGUGCAAAGGACAGGAGUGAGUUUAUCUCAAGCCUUGUUGGCAGCCGCAGUGUGGGGAUUCGAUUCCUGAAAUAUGAAAUUGAACUCCUUGUAGGCGCAGUAUAUAAGCAGCUCUUGUUCCUUGACCUACUAGGGCACAUCUCGCGAUUUACUUCCUUCACAAAUCUUUAAGGAAGGGGUCGUGGGGACGGUUGGGGUUCAACCUUUUUUUUCCUUCAUAAAAAGGAAAAAAAAAACAAAUCUCAUCAAUUUAUAAAAAAUUAUAAAUGGUGAUAUAGUACGAACAACUUUCUUACCAUUUCUCUGCAAACUUGACAAUAAAUUAGAAAGAGCAGCCAAUACAAGUACAACACGUGUACGGCUGUAAUGGCUCAACGAGCAUUAGCCGGGAUAGAUUGUGGUUGCAUGACGUGGAUACUAGUUGGCAGUUGACAGGACAGCUAGUUCCUCAGUGUGCUAAUUUCCAUAUAUGCCCUCUGCAUGCUCAUUUUAAAUGAUUUUUUAUACCAGUCAAUUGACAUGACAUUUCCUACUAAAAUUUGGUACAAAUUAUUUUAUUAACAAAAAUUUAUGUACUGAAAUACUAAAAAUUUAGUAAAUAGACAAGUGAGAACAUUUCUCGUCUCAAUCCAAUUGAACAUAUAAAUGAACUACAAUUACAAUGAAAUUAAUUUUGAAAUGACAUCUUGCCAUCGAUUAUUCCGAGUCGAUAUAGUGAAAAGUAUACUUUUGAAAAACAAAAAAAGUCAAGGGCCAGCGUAAUAAUCAGUAAUCACAACAGAUCUGAACUUUUUUUUUUUUUUUUUUUUGGCAUUGAAUUGAAUUGGAAUAUUAGAUUUGAUAUUUUUGGAUCAUAAUUGGUGUAUGUACAGUACAUAUAUUGCAAUACUAUGUAUCAAAUAUAUCAUUUUAAUUUUUUCCUCAUUAAAUGAGUUAGAUUUGUGACAUUUGAAGAAGUUGUACUUGAGUAAUAUUAUCUAUUAUCAUUGAAUAUCAUUUUAAGUUUGGGCGAACAACAAUUCAUUGUCUAAUAUAAUAAAAUACAUCACAACUCUAUGAAUUGUAUGAAUAAGGAAACUCAGUGUCAUGUGAAGUGUGAACUGUAUCAUUAUGAUAAGUAAUAUCACUAAACCCUUGUUUGAGCUUCAUUAUAUAUUUUAUUAUUAUUAUUAUUAUUUUUUUUUUUGCAAACUCAUUUUAAUUGUGUUUUUUCAUAAUAUUUUGUACGUAACCCAAAAAUUUUUCUUACUUUUUAACAAUGCAUUCUCUAAAAAUUCACUAUUACAAAAUUUAUUUUCAACAAAAAAUAAAAAUAAAAAUGGAACACGGACAUAGGCUAUGAUUAGGUACAUGCAAUUACUAAAAAAAAUUAUAUAUUUCAAAUAUAUUGCAUUGAAGUAUAUUUGUCUCCUGCAUUUGUUUGCUCUUAAAUUUCAAUCAAUUAAAAAAAAGUAUCAAAAAGUACUGAAAAUUUAAGUAAACAACCCAUUUUUCUUCAACCAACAAAAUCUAAGCAUCAUAACAUCACUAUAUAUAUAUAUAUAUAUAUAAUCGAUAACUUUCAAACGAGAGAGAGUAUUUAUUUGGAGAUGAGAACUGUACUGAAUAAAGCCAAGAUCGUCCUACUUAUUCCCUGCCUUGCAAGAGAUUUUCAAGAUGUCAGGUGAGAGUUAAACCAAAGAUUAAAAUAUUUUCGUUUACAUUCUCAUUUAUUUAUUUUAUUUUUAUUUCAUAAAUAUUAUUUAAAUCAUAAAAUAAAAAUUAAAAAAAAAAAAGAUUUGAGGCAAGUACCAUAUUCUUUGUCUCCACCCCGUGUGGAAAUGGUUAGGGGUAGACGCAAGCGCAUGACAGGUAGGUUAGAAUCACUAAAAAUAAAUAAAAGUAAAAAGCUAGUACAACUUGUGCUCACCUAAUCUACCCCAGUUGGAAGCUUGUACGGCAUUAAAAGACAGAAAUUGUCAAACGAAAUUUGUUUAUUGUAACAUGUAAAAGUUUAGAGGAAAAUUGAAGAAAAUGUUGCAUCCUAUGAUAGCUUGUGCUCACCUAAUAUACCCCUAGUGGGAAACUUGUUAAGGCGUUAAAAGAGAAAAAUUGUCCAAUGAAAUUUGUAUAUUUUAAUAUGUAAUUUGAGUUUACUAGAAAACUAACAUGUUUUAUUUAUAGAUAUUGGGGUCAUUCUUGUUCAAUAGAGCAUUAUUUAAAUUAAUCGAUGAAAAUAUACAUAAGGAUGACAAUGAGGUAGGUCGAGAUCGGUGGAAUAAUUCGUUUCCCCCAUUUGGGUUUUUUUCCCUUGCCUGCCCCAUCCCAGCUUAAGGGGGGGUACGGGGUGGGAUUGGGUAGGCCCUGUUUAUCAUCUUAUUUCUAUUUUUUAGAUAUUUAGUUAGUGAAAAUCUUUAAUUUUUUCCAUUCGUCAAAUACUUCAUGUGUCCUUUAGAAAGGCUUAUGAAAAGAUUCUAAUGUGCGAUUACAACCUUAUAUCUUGAAACAGACUUUAAAUUGGUAGUUUUCCUGUCCUUAUUUGAGACAACUACCCUUGUCUCGCCCCUGCUUCCUCCCUUGCCUUGAAUAUAUAUUUAAAUUGAUUUGUUUUGAUUCUAAUCGAUAACUUUCAAACGAGAGAGAGUAUUUAUUUGGAGAUGAGAGUUGGACUGAAUGAAGCCAAGAUUGUCCUACUUAGUCCUUGCCUUGCAAGAGAUUUUCAAGAUGCCACGUGAGAGGUAAACCAUAGAUUAAAAUAUUUUCGUUUACAUUCUCAUUUAUUUCUUUUAUUUUUUAUUUCAUAAAUAUUAUUUAAAUCGUAAAAAAAAUAAAAAAUAAAAGAUUUGAGGCAAGAACCAUAUUCUUUGUCUCCUCCCCGUGUGGAAAUGGUUAGGCGUAGAGGUAGGCACAAGACAGGUAGGUUAAAAUAAUUAAAAAUAGAUAAAAGUAAAAAUCUAGAGGGAAAUUGAAGAUAACGUUCUAAUAUAAAUAUGCGUACUUGAAAGAAGUAAGAUAACUUUUUAAAGAAAAAAAAAAGAAUUAUCGUAAAAUUACAAUUUUUGUUUUAUUAUUAUUCCUAAGUUAAAAAACUAGUAACAAUUAUUGAACUUCAUAAUAUAAUAAGUUACAAGUUAACAAGAUAAAAUAUUCAAUCUUUGAAGAAUAUUUUACUUUGAACUAACGAAAUUUAAAUAUGUAUAAAGAACUUGUUGAAUGACACUACUUCAACCUACAACAAUUAACUUCUUUUUUUCUUUUUCUUUUUUUUUUCUUUUUUUUUGCAAGGCAUUAUAAUUACAGUUUUUUGUCUCCCAUAUAUAUAUAUAUUAAAAUUGACGUGUUUCGUUUCUAAUCAAUAACUUUCAAACGAGAGAGAGUAUUUAUUUAGAGAUGAGAAUUGGACUGAAUGAGGCAAAGAUCAUCCUACUUAUUCCCUGCCUUGCAAGAGAUUUUCAAGAUGUCAAGUGGAAGUUAAACCAUAGAUUAAAAUAUUUUCAUUUACAUUCUCAUUUAUUUAUUUUAUUUUUUAUUUCAUAAAAAUAUUUAAAUCAUAAAUUUUAAAAAAAAUUGAGGCAAUAACCAAAUUCUUCGUCUCCAUCCGUGUGGAAAUGGUUAGGUGUAGAGGCAAGCGAAUGACAGACAGGUUAGAAUCACUAAAAAUAAAUAAAAGUAAAAAACUAGUACAACUUGUGCUCACCUAAUCUACCCCAGUUGGAAGCUUGUACGGCAUUGAAAGACAGAAAUUGUCAAACAAAUUUGUUUAUUGUAACAUGUUUGUUUAGAGGAAAAUUGAAUAAAAUGAUGCAUCCUAUGACAGCCUGUGCUCACCUUGUAUACCCCUAGUGGGAAACUUGUUAAGGCGUUGAAAGAGAGAAAUUGCCCAAUGAAAUUUGUAUAUUAUAAUAUGUAAUUUGAGUUUACUAGAAAACUAACAUGUUUUAUUUAUGAGUAAUGCUAUUCGUAAUUGUUUAUUGUGACAGUCGUCCUACGUAGUAUACACAUAGCAGGUGAUUAUUUGAUACAUUAAUGUGGUAGUUUAUUAUUCAUUAAUGCAUCAAAUAACCACCUGCCAUGUGUAUGCCACGUAGGGCGACUGCUGUAGUAAACAACUGCAAAUAACAUUAUUCUUUAUUUAUAGAUAUUGGGGUCAUUCUUGUUCAAUAGAGCGUUGUUUAAAUUAAUCAAUGAAAAUACACGUAAAGAUGACAAUGAGGUAGGUCGAGAUCGGUGGAAUCAUUCGUUUGCCCCCAUUUGGGUUUUUUCCCUUGCCCCGUCCCCAUCCCAACCUAAGGGUUGGUACGGGUUGGGAUUGGGUAGGCCCUGUUUAUCACCUUAUUUCUUUUUAGAUAUUUAGUUAGUGAAAAUCAUUAAUUUUUUCCAUUUGUCAAAUACUUCAUAGAAAGGCUUAUGAAAAGAUUCUUUUGUGCGAUUACAACCUCAUAUUUUGAACAGACUUUAAACUCGUACUUGUCCCAUCCUUGUCUGGGACAAUGACUCUUGUCUCAUCCCUCGCUUCCUCCCUCGCCUUGAGUACCCAAUUAUGUCGGGGAAUUUACAUCCCAUUUGAGAUGAGACCCCACGAACGUCGAGUUUAUCGAUUUUUUUUUACCAUCACUAAAUACAUGUAAUGAAUGAUUGAUAUAUUUGAAUCAAAGAGUCACCACAUUUUAUUGUAUUGUAAUGGUACAAAUUUGAAUUGAUUUUUUGGGUUCACUUCUUGGUCUCUUGGUGAUUAAAAUUUGACAGUUGGAAAAGGAAAUUCAUUAUUGGUGUGGUGUCUGCCCUCUCUCUAUAUUAUUGGAGAACUAAGAAUCACUUGUAUUGCGGCAGCCAAUUAUGAUGUCAAAAAGAUUAGCACUAGCAAGUUGCAACAUACAAAUUGCAUUGCAAGUUGCUUCAUUCAUUAAUUGAAUCAAACAAGCUUGUUCCAAUAGGACAACCUACCUAAACUAAAAACAAAAAUGAAAGAUUUUAUUACAUGUUUAACAAGUGAAAAGUGUGAUCAAGAUCCAGCUCAAACAACAAGAGCAAACUCUUAUAUAAUAAUAAAUUAUGGUGAAAUUUAAGGAAAAAUUAGCGAAAAGUUAUUUUAUCCCAUGUUUGAAUAAGUAAAAAUAAAUAAAUAAAUGUACAAAAAGGAAAAUGGAAAGAAGAAAGGAAAGGAAAGGAAAGGAAGAUUUCUAAAAAAUAGAAAAAAAAAUGAAAAUUCUCUGUCUCUUGCAAACUAAAGAUACAAAAUAAGCAUCAUAAAAGCAGUGGCAAAUGAAUCUGCGCAUAAAAUAUGAAGGCAGCCUUAUCAUUACAAAGAAAAGAAGAAAAAUCAGAAUGCUCACAGAAGCUCUCUAGUAAUACAUCAAUUUACAAGGAAACAAUUCUCCAGGCACAACGACCCAUGUAGUAGUAGAGUUUGUAACAAUUUGUAUGCAAAUUGCUUUUCUUAUUGCAAUGAAAAUCCUUUUAAAAGUGCAAUUCCUUCCUUUUCCAAUUCAACAUAAGACGGAUGUAGUUAAGGUUGUAAAUGAAUCGAAUAUGGGCUGGAUCUGUCCAUAUACAAUCUGAUCCAAUAAGAAUAAUUCGUGGAUCUAAUCUAAUUCUAUUAUUCAAUGGAUAUUUUAUUUUAAAAUUCAUAUUCAAUUUGCUGUGUUAUCGAAUAUCCGAUCUGAAAUUUUUACAUAUAUUCUUUUUUUUUUUUUAUAAUUCGAAAGAGAAGAUUCUCAAAUUCAAUACAAAAUUUAUUACAAUAUAUUAAUUUUAUAUUGAAAUUUGAUAAGUUUGACAUUUUUCAUUAAAAGUCAUAAAGUAUAAUACAUGUUUCAAAAUGGAAAAAAAAAAUUAUGUGUAGUAAAUUAUACGGUAAUAUGUAAAAUAUAUUAUAUUAUUAGAACAAAAAUGAUCAUGUUGUUAUCGGAUCGAUUGAUUUAUCUCCAUAUUUGCUCCAUUUUGUUAACCAAUUAUAGGAAUUGGAUCUUGAAUUGGUUAUGGAACUAAGAUCCUAAAUUCAUCUUCCAUUAAUUUCAUCAAAUUUGAAUUAAAAUCCAAUUUAUUGACAGCUGUAACUAUCGUAGUUCUAUUGUCACAAUCCAAAAAUGUCUCCUAUUUGCAACCACAAAAAAAUCCACAUAAAUUGAAGUAACAAUCCCUGCAAACUAAUCCAANUAAUCCCAUUAGGGCUAAAUAACAUUAAACCUAGAAAUUAGAAAAUCACAAAAUUUGUAAUUUUAGGCUUUUAUCUUUUAAUUUCUAUUUUGGAAUUAUCUAUUUCCGCUUAUUUAUGAGCUACUUUUUCACUCUCGGGAGGGUUCUAGGUACCAUUUUGAAGAUGAUGCCUAGAAUUAAUGAUAUUAAAAUUUAUUUAACGUCAAAUUGACACGGCUUACUCAUGUAAUUAAAUAUAAAUAAUAAUAAAAUUUAUCACACAGGAGAAUAAAAGAAAUCCGAUUCAUAAAAUGAAACUCCCGUUUGGCCCUCAUUAUCUUCCAUUUUGUUCUUCUCCCUUAUUUUUAAGUAAAAUUUCAUUUGUACUAGGGCAUAUUUACACACAUGCGGGAGCCCCGCCCCCCUUUGAGGGGUGUGUAAAUGCUCGUGGUACAAGUAACUCGAUCCCAUUUUAAAUCACACAAUUUUCAAUAAAAUAAUAUUAUAUUUAAAUCGAAAACAUUUCAUUCUUCUUCAAUCACAUAUUUUUCAAAAAAAAUAAAAUAAAAACACGAUUCCAAACAUUAAAAUUUGGAAAAAAUGGGAGCGGGGCUGAAAGAAAUCCGUGCUGAAAAAUAAAUUCAGCGAAAAUAAAUAAAUGAAUAAGUAAAAAAUGUUAAAAGAAAAUAAAGGACAAUCAAUAUUGAUAAUAAUGUCAUGGUUCACACCAAUUCAUCUCUCAUUAUCAUUGACAAACUGCCCUUUUUUUUUUCUUAAAUUUCUCUCAACAUCAUCAUAGUUUUUAGCCAAUAUAUAAUACAGUUUAAGACAAACAGCUUAAUAACCACUAAAAUUACGCUCUUUUUUUCCCUCAUUUUUGUACAACAUAUUUUUGUCAUCUAUGAGCAAUAACCAGUGUCUCUAUGAACCGUAAUCCAUCGAAUCUCGGCGCAAAUUUAUUGGAACAAGAAGAAGAAGAAGACAACCUCUGCGAUGUUGAAUUCUCCCUAUUUUUCCUCACAAUCGCAUCCUAAAAAUUACAGAAAAAAUCGUCAAAAUUCAACGUAAAGGUUUUCUCAGUCAGAAAAUAGGUUUCAAAUAUAGGGGCUGUGUAUAUUGGUAAAAGUCGAUAAAAUACCGUUGGUGCCAUAAAAUGUGGUGAAAAAGUGGAAAAAAGUUGUGAAUCCAAUGGAAUUUGUAAUUAAAAAUGAAAUUUAAUCAAUUUUUUAACCAAUAAAAGCUUUAUCAAAUAAACACUUAAUUGAAAAAGGAGAAGAAAAAGACGAGGGAAAUGAUUUUACCUCGUGCAGAGAGUGAAUUUUGGAAGACGAGGAAGCGGAAAUGGCGGAAGCAGAAGAGGCCACUGAGGCUGCUAAGAGGCCUGAUAUCUUCAUUACGCAGGAAAAUAUUUUCCUUCUUAAUCAGAAAUCUUAGGUGAAAUUCUGGGGAAGGGAAUUUGGUUUUCUUUGGGAAAAUGGGGAAUGAAAAAUGCGUGCUUGAAUAUGGG
rnacentral:lncRNA from 1 species